ACGCUGGCGGCAGGCCUAACACAUGCAAGUCGAGCGGUAGAGAGAAGCUUGCUUCUCUUGAGAGCGGCGGACGGGUGAGUAAUGCCUAGGAAUCUGCCUGGUAGUGGGGGAUAACGUUCGGAAACGGACGCUAAUACCGCAUACGUCCUACGGGAGAAAGCAGGGGACCUUCGGGCCUUGCGCUAUCAGAUGAGCCUAGGUCGGAUUAGCUAGUUGGUGGGGUAAUGGCUCACCAAGGCGACGAUCCGUAACUGGUCUGAGAGGAUGAUCAGUCACACUGGAACUGAGACACGGUCCAGACUCCUACGGGAGGCAGCAGUGGGGAAUAUUGGACAAUGGGCGAAAGCCUGAUCCAGCCAUGCCGCGUGUGUGAAGAAGGUCUUCGGAUUGUAAAGCACUUUAAGUUGGGAGGAAGGGUUGUAGAUUAAUACUCUGCAAUUUUGACGUUACCGACAGAAUAAGCACCGGCUAACUCUGUGCCAGCAGCCGCGGUAAUACAGAGGGUGCAAGCGUUAAUCGGAAUUACUGGGCGUAAAGCGCGCGUAGGUGGUUAGUUAAGUUGGAUGUGAAAUCCCCGGGCUCAACCUGGGAACUGCAUUCAAAACUGACUGACUAGAGUAUGGUAGAGGGUGGUGGAAUUUCCUGUGUAGCGGUGAAAUGCGUAGAUAUAGGAAGGAACACCAGUGGCGAAGGCGACCACCUGGACUGAUACUGACACUGAAGUGCGAAAGCGUGGGGAGCAAAC
rnacentral:rRNA from 1 species